UACGGGGGGGGCAAGCGUUGUUCGGAAUUACUGGGCGUAAAGGGUCUGUAGGUGGCUUGCUAAGUCAGACGUGAAAUCCCUCGGCUUAACCGGGGAACUGCGUCUGAUACUGGCGAGCUUGAGUGCAGGAGAGGAACGCGGAAUUCCAGGUGUAGCGGUGAAAUGCGUAGAUAUCAGGAGGAACACCAACGGCGAAGGCAGCUCGCUGGGACGGUACUGACGCUAAGGCGCGAAAGCGUGGGGAGCGAACAGG
rnacentral:rRNA from 1 species